rnacentral:rRNA from 1 species
AGCGAACGCUGGCGGCAUGCUUAACACAUGCAAGUCGCGCGGGUGGUUUCGGCCAUCAGCGGCGGACGGGUGAGUAUCGCGUAGGAAUGUAUCCCGAGGUGGGGGACAACCCUGGGAAACUGGGGCUAAUACCGCAUGGGGCCUGUGGGUCAAAGCCUUAGGGCGCCUUGGGAGCAGCCUGCGUCCGAUUAGGUAGUUGGUGGGGUAAAGGCCUACCAAGCCUGCGAUCGGUAGCUGGUCUGAGAGGACGAUCAGCCACACUGGGACUGAGACACAGCCCAGACUCCUACGGGAGGCAGCAGUGGGGAAUAUUGGACAAUGGGCGCAAGCCUGAUCCAGCAAUGCCGCGUGGGUGAAGAAGGUCUUCGGAUUGUAAAGCCCUUUCGGCGGGGACGAUGAUGACGGUACCCGCAGAAGAAGCCCCGGCUAACUUCGUG